AUUAUGCCACUGAACUACUGUCCCUGGGAUCCAUCUUUUUCAGUGGACACCAGAAAUAACUAGCUGUUGUUUUCUGUUUUUGACAACAUAGACUUGGUUAGCUUUCCAUCUCCUUUUCAACUGCUACACGUAUUUGUAUCGGUCAAUUCUAGUUACCCUUUAAGCGUGACAUAGUCAAGCAGAUUGAGAUCCCCAUGCUUAUUUCCAGGCUUAUUGGCCAACAUCAUCAAAGAGCUAGACUCCACGCGGCCUGCAUUCACAAUUUCACAUUCCUCAACUUUUAGGCACUACAUCACUCAAAGACCAUCAAAGAG
rnacentral:lncRNA from 1 species